UCGCCUGUUUAUCAAAAACAUUUCUAAAUGAAUUUAUAUUUAGUAGGACCUGCUCAAUGAUAUUUUCAAUAGCCGCAUUUAAAUGUGCUAAGGUAGCAUAAUCAUUUGCCUUUUAAUUGUAGGCUAGUAUGAAUGGUUGUUCAUGAAAAUUUCUUUAUUAAUUUUAUUUCUUUAAUUUGUUCUUUAAGUUAAAAAACCUAAAUCUAUUAGAGGGACGACAAGACCCUAUCGAGCUUUACUUAUGUUGAACUGGGGCGGUAAAAAACUAAAUCUUUUUCUAACUUUUUUAACUAUCCUUUUCUUAAUUUUAUUAAGUUACCGUAGGGAUAACAGCAUAAUUUUCUUUUAAAGUUCUUAUAAAAAAGAGAGUUUAUGACCUCGAUGUUGAAUUAUUAAUCUUUUUAAAGCAAAAUUUAAAAAAGAAAGUCUGUUCGACUUUUAAAAUUUUACGUGAUCUGAGUUC
rnacentral:rRNA from 3 species